rfam:Cicer arietinum chromosome Ca7, whole genome shotgun sequence.
AGCCUUAUGGUGAGUACAAAGCAAAUUAUUAUUUCACCUUUUACUAAAGAAUACCGUGUGUUUCGCCAUAUUAAAAGACACAUGUUAAUUUUUUGAAGGGUUUUUCUUUAUAGAAGAAGU